UGCUUGAUGACAGACUUUGAUUUUCCUGUUAUGUUUUUCUUGAGAAAUAGACUAAGUGGAUUGAAUUGCUUGAGAAAUUAGCUUUGAGCACUUUGAAUUUAUAUUUUCAAUGAUGAAAAACUGAAUCCUUUAAUUUUAGGGAUUGAUUACAGCAAUGUCCUGAUGUAAACUAUAUUUACAACUAAUCAAAUCAAUAUUGACAAGGAAAGAACUAAAUUAGGGGAAUAGGAAAAUGUUAGAUGCAGACGUUCAAAUCUCUACAAGCGCGUAUCUCUAAUUGAGGGAUUCAUUUAUCAUUUUUUGAUAAAAUACAAAUUUAUUAUCAACUGGAAAUGAGAGAGGGGUUGUGAGUUGUUCUUGAUGAUUCAAACAUUUGAUGGAACGGAGACCUAUUGGUGGCUGAUCAAUGUGCAACAAUAUUGUGACACCCUAGGAGUAAACAGGGAGAGGAAGAUAUCAAUAAAUUUUUGCAUUGGAGACCAUAAAUAUAAAAGGAAUGCAAAGAAAGGAAGAGAGAUGAGAAAGAGUGAUUAAGGGUAUAGAAAUAUGAGAGAGAGAGAGAUAGAAUCUGAAUGAUGUAUUGCAUUGCUUAGAAAAUGAAUACAAAUGGUAAGUUGAUACAAAGGGUAAGCUCUAUAUAUUGAAGAGCUAUGAGCUAUAUCACCUAGCUUACAUGAGAAGCUAUGGGCUGUCUAAGUUGAUAUCGCAGUAAAAGCAUAAAAAGUAGUGUAAUAAUUCCUAGCUAUUGAAAAUCUUAUCAAGAUAAAAAUGAUUAAUAUCAUGAUGUUUAUUUUAUAUAAUUUUUCAGGUGUUAUGAAAGCUAGAUUUUAUGGAAAGUUCUUCUCAGAUGAGAAGAUGCAUGAAGAGGAAUUACCAAGGAUCUGAUCAUUUAGGUUCUGCAGCUAAUUAUGAGGAUUACACAGGGGACAAUAAGAAUAAUGGUCAAAGCGCUCCAAUUUUUUCAACAAUAGCGAUCUCAAUAGAGGGUUGUAAAUGAAGAUGAACAGAGGGAAACUGAGAAUUUGGAUGCUAAGGUCAAUACCAUUAAAGAUAGAGUAGAAAAUCGGCCUAGAUUUUCUGAAGCAACUGAGAAAAUUGUACUAGAAUCUUUAAAAUCUGCGGAUACUCAACAUGAAAAUGAUGAAGGUGUUCUUCAAAGUUCUUCAGCCUUUGCACCUGGGAUUGUGAACCUAGAGCAUUAUUGAAGCUAUUCCAGCACAGGGCAGUCCUAUAUCUUCCAGAAAUUGCUUGAUUAGUUCCAGCUCUAUAAGGUUUCUUUUCUUGCCUCUUGACUGUAUGCUGUUCCAAUUGACUGUUUUAUAGAAAUGUAAUAUUUCCAAAUGGAGUUUCCUUAACAUGAACAAGCAAAGGGAUUGGGCAGUUUUGCACCAUUUCAGUUUUGUUUUCGCUUUCUCACAAUUAUUUUAUUUACUCUUUCUCAAUACUUUAAAAUGUGUCAUACAAAUGCAUCAUUAUCUU